rnacentral:lncRNA from 1 species
UAUUGUUAUGAAAGGAUUUAGGACACUUUUAGAAAUAAUUAGAAAUUGAAAUAAAAUAGAUCUUAUUUAAACAAAAAAAUAGGUUUAUAGGUUAUAAAGAUGGUUUCAAGUAAAAGAUAAUAUAAAGGUCAAAUGAUUCGUUGAUAUAGGAAAAUAAAGUAAGAAGAAAACACAUAAAGAAGAUAGCGAAUAACAAGCAUUAUCUUAGAUGCAUGAUAAGCAAGAAUAGUACAAGUCAAGAACCUCAUUAGUUAUUUGGCACGUGUUUAGAAGGUUGCUAGGUCGACGGACAGAUGUAUGUCGAAUUGAUAUUACAUCCAAGGUUAUAACCAUAUUCACAGAAUGUGUAGAUACUACAGCAUCAUGAAUAUUCAAUAAUAC